rnacentral:lncRNA from 1 species
GGAACAGACUCAGGUGGCACCAACCUUGACUUUCAGAAGGAGCAGUACAUCUACAAAUGGAAUAGAGAUGGUAUCUACAUCAUAAGUCUGAAGAGGACCUGGGGAAUCCUGGCUGUUGCUUGCAACUCCAGCUAUGGUUGCCAUUGAAAACCCUGAUGAUGUCAGCGUCAAAUCCUCCAGGAACACUGGCCAGCCAGCCGUGUUGAAGUUCACUGAUGAGCUCCCAUUGGUAGCUGCUUCAUGCCUGAGACCUUCACUAAGCAGACCCAAGCAGCCUUCAGGGAAUCACAGCUUCUAGUGGUGACUGAUUCCAGGGCUGACCACCAGCCACUCACAGUGGCAUCUUAAGUCAGCCUGCCCACCAUUGCUCUGUGUAACACAGACUCUCCCUCUGUGCUACUUGAACAUUGCCAUCCCAUGCGACAACAAGGGAGCUCACACUGUGGGUCUGACAUGGCAGAUGCUGGCCUGGGAAGUACUGCACGUGUGUGGCAGUGUCUCCCAUGAUCACCUGUGGGAGGUCAUGCCUGAUCUUUACUUCUACAGAGACCCAGAGGAGAUUGAGAAGGAGGAGCAGGCUGCUGCUGAGAAGGUGGUGACCAAGGAGGAAUUCUAGGGCAAAUCUUGCCAGCUCCUGAGUUCACUGCUGCUCAGCCUGAGGGGGCCAACUGGUCUGAUGGUGUACACAUGCUUACUGUAUCUAUCCAGAAGUUUCAUACUGAAGAAUGGAGAGACCAGCUAGCCACUGAGGACUUCAGCAGCUCCCACAUUGCAUGCCACUGAGUGGACUGAAGUCACUACUGCAUGGUCCUGAGCUGCUCUGCAGACACCUGAGCAAAGGGGGAAAACCUGGAAGGAAAAUAAGUUCCUAAAAGC